rnacentral:rRNA from 1 species
AUGGUGGCGGCGGCACCGUGCGCCUCGCGGAGGUCGUUUAGGGACUCGCUCAAGGUGCUGGAGGCGGACAUCCAGCACGCCAACACCUUGGCGUCGGAGUGCUCGCGGGACUACGAUGGGGCGUCCCUGCAGAUGCGCAUGUCCUACAGCCCCGCCGCGCGCAUCUUCCUCUUCCUCCUGCAGCGGGCCGACUGCAGCCUCGCCGGCGCCCUCGGCCUCCUCAGGAUCCCCAUCUAGUACAAGGUUUAUGUGGACGGCACCACAACCAUGCCCACCCACGAAAGGAAAGCGAACAUGAAGGAAUUCUUCUACGCCGUGACAUUUCCCUUCCUUCUGCAACUGGAACACGGGAUCAGCGGCAUCGAUGACCCGAGGCAGAGGGCGGUGUGCUAGGAGUUGUAUAGGAGGAGAGACGGCAAGGGGGAGGGUAGUACGAGGCUGGUCUCUGAGGUCGACGCCGAGAUAGAAGAGGAGUGUGGGAUCUGCAUGGAGUUAAACAGCAGGUUUGUGCUGCAUCCACGACAAGUGCAUCGAUUGCUACCGCCAAUGGUGAGUGAGGACAAGAACCUGACCUCACGUAUUUUUGUUUUGUUUUGUUUCUCUGCCAUGUUUGUUCAGUUCAACUUCAACCAAUGA